GAGUGGCGCAAUUGGUAGCGCAGCGGUCUCCAAAACCGUUGGUUGGGGGUUCGAGUCCCUCUUCUC
rnacentral:tRNA from 1 species